rnacentral:rRNA from 1 species
UUCCUUGGAACAGGACGUCACAGAGGGUGAGAAUCCCGUCUGAUGAGGUGAUCCACUCCUUUGUAAAGUGCUAUCGAAGAGUCGAGUUGUUUGGGAAUGCAGCUCUAAUUGGGUGGUAAAUUCCAUCUAAAGCUAAAUAUUGGCGAGAGACCGAUAGCGAACAAGUACAGUGAUGGAAAGAUGAAAAGAACUUUGAAAAGAGAGUGAAAAAGUACGUGAAAUUGUUGAAAGGAAAGGGUAUUAGAUCAAACUUGGCGUUGUGUGAUUAUCUUCCCCUUGUGGGUUGUGCUCUCGUGCUUCGCUGGGCCAGCAUCAAUUCAUGUGGCAGGAUAAUAUCAUUGGAACGUGGCUGCGCUUCUGUGUAGUGUUAUAGCCUUUGUUGAUACUGCCUAUGUGGAUC